AGGGGUAAAUAUUCUUACGUUGCAAUGAUUGAAGAAGGAUCAAAUUUAUGAGUGGUUUUUGCAAGUUGUGAUUAAAAUAUUAAUAAAAUGAUAUUAAAAUAAUAAAUAAUAUUAAAAAAAUUAAAUAGUAAAAUUUUUGGACUAUAAAUAGUCAUGGGAGGGAAGGUUAUUCUGCACAAAAAGAGAGGAAGAAUCAAGUGAGAAAUCUUGAAAAAUAGAGAAGAAAGAGUUACGAAGAAAUUUUAGUUGCAAGAAGAGUAGAAGUUCUGAAGGGUUUUCGGGGGAACAAAUUCUGAGCAAGAGAUUAAGUCUAUAAUAGAGGUAAAAGGAGCUAACCUUUAUAAGCUUUUAUAUUAUGAUAAAAAUAUUUUUUUUAUAACUAUUCAUGUCUUGAAAUUUUGUGCAAUUACUAUUAAUGAAAAACUUAUGUGCUUGUUGUAUAACUAUUUAAAUUUCUGUGUUAAUAUUAUAUGUUGUUGUUUUGAAUUUGUGA
rnacentral:lncRNA from 1 species